rnacentral:rRNA from 1 species
AACCUGGUUGAUCCUGCCAGUAGUCAUAUGCUUGUCUCAAAGAUUAAGCCAUGCAUGUCUAAGUACAAGCCUCACUAAGGUGAAACCGCGAAUGGCUCAUUAAAUCACACCUCAUGUACUGGAUAGUCUCAGUUACUUGGAUAACUGCGGUAAUUCUGGAGCUAAUACAUGCGACCAAUGCCCGACUCACGGAGGGCUGCUUUUAUUAGAUCAAAACCAAACGGCUUCAGCCGUUUCUUUGGUGAUUCUGAAUAACUUUGGGCUGAUCGCACGGUCAUGCACCGGCGACGUAUCCUUCCAAGGUGUGCCCUAUCAACUGUCGACUGUGGCAUAGACGCCCACAGUGGUUUUGACGGGUAACGGGGAAUUAGGGUUCGAUUCCGGAGAGGGAGCCUGAGAAACGGCUACCACUUCUACGGAAGGCAGCAGGCACGCAAAUUACCCACUGGCCGAAGGCCGAGGUAGUGACGAAAAAUAACGAUACCGGACUCAUCCGAGGCCCGGUAAUCGGAAUGAGUACACUUUAAAUCCUUUAACGAGGAACAAUUGGAGGGCAAGUCUGGUG